rnacentral:rRNA from 1 species
AUACGUAGGGAGCGAGCGUUGUCCGGAAUUACUGGGUGUAAAGGGAGCGUAGGCGGGACUGCAAGUCAGAUGUGAAAUACCGGGGCUUAACCCCGGAGCUGCAUUUGAAACUGUGGUUCUUGAGUGAAGUAGAGGCAAGCGGAAUUCCUGGUGUAGCGGUGAAAUGCGUAGAUAUCAGGAGGAACACCGGUGGCGAAGGCGGGUAACUGGACUGCAACUGACGCUGAGGCGCGAAAGUGUGGGGAGCAAACAGGAUUAGAUACCCUGGUAGUCCACACGGUAAACGAUGAAUGCUAGGUGUAAGAGGUAUCGACCCCUUUUGUGCCGGAGUCAACACAAUAAGCAUUCCGCCUGGGGAGUACGGCCGCAAGGUUGAAACUCAAAGGAAUUGACGGGG